AGAGUUUGAUUCUGGCUCAGAACGAACGCUGGCGGCGUGGAUAAGACAUGCAAGUCGAACGAGAGAAUUGCUAGCUUGCUAAUAAUUCUCUAGUGGCGCACGGGUGAGUAACACGUGAGUAACCUGCCCCCGAGAGCGGGAUAGCCCUGGGAAACUGGGAUUAAUACCGCAUAGUAUCGAAAGAUUAAAGCAGCAAUGCGCUUGGGGAUGGGCUCGCGGCCUAUUAGUUAGUUGGUGAGGUAACGGCUCACCAAGGCGAUGACGGGUAGCCGGUCUGAGAGGAUGACCGGCCACACUGGAACUGAGACACGGUCCAGACACCUACGGGUGGCAGCAGUCGAGAAUCAUUCACAAUGGGGGAAACCCUGAUGGUGCGACGCCGCGUGGGGGAAUGAAGGUCUUCGGAUUGUAAACCCCUGUCAUGUGGGAGCAAAUUAAAAAGAUAGUACCACAAGAGGAAGAGACGGCUAACUCUGUGCCAGCAGCCGCGGUAAUACAGAGGUCUCAAGCGUUGUUCGGAAUCACUGGGCGUAAAGCGUGCGUAGGCUGUUUCGUAAGUCGUGUGUGAAAGGCGCGGGCUCAACCCGCGGACGGCACAUGAUACUGCGAGACUAGAGUAAUGGAGGGGGAACCGGAAUUCUCGGUGUAGCAGUGAAAUGCGUAGAUAUCGAGAGGAACACUCGUGGCGAAGGCGGGUUCCUGGACAUUAACUGACGCUGAGGCACGAAGGCCAGGGGAGCGAAAGGGAUUAGAUACCCCUGUAGUCCUGGCAGUAAACGGUGCACGCUUGGUGUGCGGGGAAUCGACCCCCUGCGUGCCGGAGCUAACGCGUUAAGCGUGCCGCCUGGGGAGUACGGUCGCAAGAUUAAAACUCAAAGAAAUUGACGGGGACCCGCACAAGCGGUGGAGUAUGUGGCUUAAUUCGAUGCAACGCGAAGAACCUUACCUGGGCUUGACAUGUAAUGAACAACAUGUGAAAGCAUGCGACUCUUCGGAGGCGUUACACAGGUGCUGCAUGGCCGUCGUCAGCUCGUGUCGUGAGAUGUUUGGUUAAGUCCAGCAACGAGCGCAACCCCUGUUGCCAGUUACCAGCACGUGAAGGUGGGGACUCUGGCGAGACUGCCCAGAUCAACUGGGAGGAAGGUGGGGACGACGUCAGGUCAGUAUGGCCCUUAUGCCCAGGGCUGCACACGUACUACAAUGCCCAGUACAGAGGGGGCCGAAGCCGCGAGGCGGAGGAAAUCCUAAAAACUGGGCCCAGUUCGGACUGUAGGCUGCAACCCGCCUACACGAAGCCGGAAUCGCUAGUAAUGGCGCAUCAGCUACGGCGCCGUGAAUACGUUCCCGGGUCUUGUACACACCGCCCGUCACAUCAUGGAAGCCGGUCGCACCCGAAGUAUCUGAAGCCAACCGCAAGGAGGCAGGGUCCUAAGGUGAGACUGGUAACUGGGAUGAAGUCGUAACAAGGUAGCCGUAGGGGAACCUGCGGC
rnacentral:rRNA from 1 species